rnacentral:rRNA from 1 species
AUUGAACGCUGGCGGCAGGCCUAACACAUGCAAGUCGAACGGUAACAGGAAGACGCUUGCUUCUUUGCUGACGAGUGGCGGACGGGUGAGUAAUGUCUGGGAAACUGCCUGAUGGAGGGGGAUAACUACUGGAAACGGUAGCUAAUACCGCAUAAUGUCGCAAGACCAAAGAGGGGGAUCUUCGGGCCUCUUGCCAUCGGAUGUGCCCAGAUGGGAUUAGCUAGUAGGGGGGGUCACGGCUCACCUAGGCGACGAUCCCUAGCUGGUCUGAGAGGAUGACAAGCCACACUGGAACUGAGACACGGUCCAGACUCCUACGGGAGGCAGCAGUGGGGAAUAUUGCACAAUGGGCGGAAGCCUGAUGCAGCUAUGCCGCGUGUAUGAAGAAGGCCUUCGGGUUGUAAAGUACUUUCAGCGGGGAGGAAGGAAGUAAAGGUAAUACCUUUGCUCAUUGACGUUACCCGCAGAAGAAGCACCGGCUAACUCCGUG